AUUGAACGCUGGCGGCAUGCUUUACACAUGCAAGUCGAACGGCAGCGCGGGCUUCGGCCUGGCGGCGAGUGGCGAACGGGUGAGUAAUGCGUCGGAACGUGCCCAGUAGUGGGGGAUAGCCCGGCGAAAGCCGGAUUAAUACUGCAUACGACCUGAGGGUGAAAGCGGGGGACCGAAAGGCCUCGCGCUAUUUGAGCGGCCGAUGUCGGAUUAGCUAGUUGGUGGGGUAAAGGCUUACCAAGGCGACGAUCCGUAGCUGGUCUGAGAGGACUACCAGCCACACUGGGACUGAGACACGGCCCAGACUCCUACGGGAGGCAGCAGUGGGGAAUUUUGGACAAUGGGGGCAACCCUGAUCCAGCCAUGCCGCGUGCGGGAAGAAGGCCUUCGGGUUGUAAACCGCUUUUGUUCGGGAAGAAAUCCUCUGGGCUAAUACCCCGGGGGGAUGACGGUACCGGAAGAAUAAGCACCGGCUAACUACGUG
rnacentral:rRNA from 1 species